GGGGCCCCCCGCUCUCUCCAACCCCGAUGUCAAGAACCCCCCCUCGCCGUCUUUCUCGGGCAAAACAAACACAAGGUUUUAUUUUGGAGAUAUGCCCAACGGGGGGCAUUUUUCCACAAUGGGAUAACCGUAAAGGGUCCUUACCUUAUAAAAAAUAUAAUAUCUGGUGGGCCGGUUGCCACUGGGAGAUUUGCCCUUAAAGCCCCGGUCCACACCUUAGGAGCUAAACCGGUUUUUUCAACUUAUCUUGGCCCGGUGCAAAAACCGCCAAAAAAAGAAAUAAAGGGGAUCACGGCUUUGACCUUAAGUGGGUAACUAGGGGACACAAAGGGCCAAUCUUAUCCUAGUCGCAAUGGUGGCCAUUGACCGAUGCCUUCAUCUUAAGGGGGGGCUGUCGGCACUAAAGCAUUCAGAGUAGGAAAAAAAAUCCCGGGGAGUUUACCCCUCGCCCCAUUUAACCCCAUGCCUUUUGAAUUCACAGAACUUUACGAACUGGGGGGUUUUCAAGAAGGGAAACAUCGGACAAGUUACUCGUGUCCGGACUGUCCCUAAUCUCACCCCACCCAAGGAAGGCGUGGCGGGUGGGAAAGUGUACUUUUUAUUGGCGCUUUAUUAAAGUUUGCACUGGUAAUGUUACCUCUUGUGCUGGAAACGAGCCGUACCCCCCGCAACUGUCGCCUCUCGAGAAUUCUUUUUAAAACGGCGGUGUCCUAAUUAUAUAUAAUUUGUCAAAAUAGAAAUCUAACACCUCUAAAAAUCUCGGGAUUCUAAAUGAUGAUUUCAAAAACAAUCGUAACAACGAUGAGGGGGUAAGUGUUUGUUUGGUCUGGGGCGUCGGCUACACAUGCAAGUCGAGCGGAUGAGUGGAGCUCUGCAUCCAUGAUUCAGCGGCGGACGGGUGAGUAAUGCCUAGGAAUCUGCCUGGUAGUGGGGGACAACGUUUCGAAAGGAACGCUAAUACCGCAUACGUCCUACGGGAGAAAGUGGGGGAUCUUCGGACCUCACGCUAUCAGAUGAGCCUAGGUCGGAUUAGCUAGUUGGUGAGGUAAAGGCUCACCAAGGCGACGAUCCGUAACUGGUCUGAGAGGAUGAUCAGUCACACUGGAACUGAGACACGGUCCAGACUCCUACGGGAGGCAGCAGUGGGGAAUAUUGGACAAUGGGCGAAAGCCUGAUCCAGCCAUGCCGCGUGUGUGAAGAAGGUCUUCGGAUUGUAAAGCACUUUAAGUUGGGAGGAAGGGCAGUAAGUUAAUACCUUGCUGUUUUGACGUUACCAACAGAAUAAGCACCGGCUAACUUCGUGCCAGCAGCCGCGGUAAUACGAAGGGUGCAAGCGUUAAUCGGAAUUACUGGGCGUAAAGCGCGCGUAGGUGGUUCGUUAAGUUGGAUGUGAAAGCCCCGGGCUCAACCUGGGAACUGCAUCCAAAACUGGCGAGCUAGAGUAUGGCAGAGGGUGGUGGAAUUUCCUGUGUAGCGGUGAAAUGCGUAUAUAUAGGAAGGAACACCAGUGGCGAAGGCGACCACCUGGGCUAAUACUGACACUGACGUGCGAAAGCGUGGGGAGCAAACAGGAUUAGAUACCCUGGUAGUCCACGCCGUAAACGAUGUCGACUAGACAUUGGGAUCCUUGAGAUCUUAGUGGCGCAGCUCACGCAUUAAGUCGACCUCCUGUUGAGUACGGCCGCACGGUUAAAACUCAAAUGAAUUGUUUUUUUGCCGCACAGCGAUGACCUGUGGUUUUAUUUCUGACCACACUCACCACCUUACAGGGCUUGACAUGCAAAGAACUUUCCAGACAUGGAUUGGUGGCGUCAGGACUCUGACCAGUUGCUGAUGACUGUCGUCAGCUCUGUCAGAGAUGUGGGUUACUCCGUACUAGGGGAGCUUGUCCUUACUACCAGCACGUCACGUGGCACUGUGAGGAGAAUGUCCGUUACCAUCGACGUACGUCGCAUGACGUCAGUCAUCAUGUGCUUAGAACUGAGUUCAUACCCUGCUCGAAGGGCGGACAAGGAUUUCAACGAAUACGUGUCUCUCGCGUACAUGCGUAUUCGAUCGAACUGAGUACUGAUGAUUGAGAUGCAAUGCAUGGUACUGCUCUGACUG
rnacentral:rRNA from 1 species